rnacentral:tRNA from 1 species
AAGGGAGAAGCUAAAUUGGAAAUGCGGCUAGCUUGAAAUUAGUUAAAGGGGGUUCGAAUCCUUCCUUCCUUG